rnacentral:miRNA from 1 species
UUUAGAGAAGUCAUGAAGCUUUG